UACGAAGGGUGCAAACGUUGCUCGGAAUUACUGGGCGUAAAGGGCUCGUAGGCGGCCAACUAAGUCAGACGUGAAAUCCCUCGGCUUAACCGGGGAACUGCCUCUGAUACUGGAUGGCUUGAGAUUGGGAGGGGGAUGCGGAAUUCCAGGUGUAGCGGUGAAAUGCGUAGAUAUCUGGAGGAACACCGGUGGCGAAGGCGGCAUCCUGGACCAACACUGACGCUGAGGAGCGAAAGCCAGGGGAGCAAACGGG
rnacentral:rRNA from 1 species